rnacentral:rRNA from 1 species
GGCGUGCCUAAUACAUGCAAGUCGAGCGAAUUGAUGGGAGCUUGCUCCCUGAUAUUAGCGGCGGACGGGUGAGUAACACGUGGGUAACCUGCCUGUAAGAUUGGGAUAACUCCGGGAAACCGGAGCUAAUACCGGAUAACAUGUUGAACUGCAUGGUUCAACAUUGAAAGAUGGCUUUUAGCUAUCACUUACAGAUGGACCCGCGGCGCAUUAGCUAGUUGGUGAGGUAACGGCUCACCAAGGCGACGAUGCGUAGCCGACCUGAGAGGGUGAUCGGCCACACUGGGACUGAGACACGGCCCAGACUCCUACGGGAGGCAGCAGUAGGGAAUCUUCCGCAAUGGACGAAAGUCUGACGGAGCAACGCCGCGUGAACGAUGAAGGCCUUCGGGUCGUAAAGUUCUGUUGUUAGGGAAGAACAAGUACCAGAGUAACUGCUGGUACCUUGACGGUACCUAACCAGAAAGCCACGGCUAACUACGUGCCAGCAGCCGCGGUAAUACGUAGGUGGCAAGCGUUGUCCGGAAUUAUUGGGCGUAAAGCGCGCGCAGGUGGUUUCUUAAGUCUGAUGUGAAAGCCCACGGCUCAACCGUGGAGGGUC